UACGGAGGGGGUUAGCGUUGUUCGGAAUUACUGGGCGUAAAGCGUACGUAGGCGGAUCGGAAAGUAUGGGGUGAAAUCCCAGGGCUCAACCCUGGAACUGCCUCAUAAACUAUCGGUCUAGAGUUCGAGAGAGGUGAGUGGAAUUCCAAAGUGUAGAGGUGAAAUUCGAUAGAUAUUAGGAAGAACACCAGUGGCGAAGGCGGCUCACUGGCUCGGUACUGAACGCGUGAGGUGGCGAAAAG
rnacentral:rRNA from 1 species